UUUUAUGAUAUAAACCAUAAUCUAGAAAUACCAGAGAGGGCAAAGUGGCGCAUGUUUUAGUAAUAUGGAGAUGUGCCGCCUUGAAAAACUGGUUUGUUCUUGGUGGCUUUUCAUUGCCAACUAGAUCCUUAAUUUAUAUUUUUCUACCAGCAAUGCCACAUAAAAUCCCACAUAAAGAAGAUGUCCUCUUUCAUUCAUGGUCAAAUCACAGUAUCAGUUUAAGGUAAUAGACUAAGUUUUUCAAACAAAUGCAUUUUUUGAGAGAGCAGACAGACAGUGAGCUAGACAAGAUAAAAGUAAAGAAGCAAACCAAUUGUGGGGUAGUUCAAAGCUUCUAGUCUAAAUUAAUUUGCAAACAAUACAUGGAGUAAAUUAAUUAGAGUAAUUCACAGUAGGCCAUGAUGAUCAUGAUUACUGAUGAGCAAAAGAACAGCCGUGAAGCAUGUGGUUAAAGUUUUAACUCACAACCCAGAGGUCCGAGGUUUGAUGCCGGCUCUAGCCCAAUAAGCGAUAUUGGUAAGGAAGGAGGCGUGAACUUCUAGUUAAAUGCUCUUCUGUGGUGCUCUGUGAUAAGACCAUAAAGACUUUUUGGGAGCACCUAAAUAACCUAAAAAAAAAUAUUGAUAGAGGUAAAAGAGCAUUGUGGAUCUUUUGAAAAAUUUAAUGUCACAUGCAAGUUUUUUUUUUUUUUUUUUUUAUUUAAUUCACCUCCUCAAGGCCGAGAAGGCCACUACAGACAAGGAGGCUACUUAUUUGUGGCUAUAGCCCUCUCUCAACUCUAUAACUCUGAAACACGAACCUUGAUAAACAAGGCCGCUGCGCGGAGAAACGAGUUGAGCGCGGUACUACCAGGGACGUGGUGGGGAUCGAACUCGGAACCACUCGUUUAUGAAGCGAGCGCUCUACCACUACACCACUACCGCAUUUUUGUAUAGCAUUAUGUAAAAAUGGUUACAGCAGUUUCUGCUUUGGUUUUAGGCAAGAUGGAAAGAAAUAGUUUAAUAUGUUUCUAUCUGCAAUCUAGGAAGAUUAUGCCAAUAGUUAUUUAUAUUAUUACAAAUUAACAAUAUUAACACAAAGACACAUUAUAACACUCAAUAUGGAAAACAUGCAAGUUUUUCAGGAUCUGCUACAUAAUUUAUUGGAACACUAUUUAACAUUAAAGUAUGUAAGAAUCAGCUAAUUAAUAAUAAUGCCGAUGUUGUCAGCAUAUUUGUUGUAAAUCUAAAUGGAUUAUUAUGAUGGAAUAAUGAGGAAAUCUUACUAAAUGUUUCAACAAUUAUUAACUCAUUG